rnacentral:lncRNA from 1 species
GGAUGGAUUUAUGGCCAUUGGAUCGUGUGAAAAAAAAUCCUUCUUCUAGUUAGUUUUCAGUCGGUAAUGAAUGUAGACCGUUGGAUCUUGCUCAGAAUCGAUUUGGGCCAUCAGAUUGUGCACUAGGAGUGGGCCACCACUGCUGAACAUGGUAACGCAUGUCCUCAGCUGUCCGAUCACGUAUUCAAAGCGAUAUCAGUCAUC